rnacentral:lncRNA from 1 species
ACAGUGCUAUGGGCAUGUGCCUGUUCAAUGCCGGUCAGGUUGUCUGCGCUGCACAUCAAGGAACAAUGGCCCAGCACACCCUCCUCGAAGAAAGAAGAUAAAGUCUUGACUCAAUCUACCUAGAAUCGGAUCUACCUACAACCGCACUGUGGCAUGUCUUGACCCAGGACUCGCGCGUCCGAAUGCAACUCGCUUGUUGAACAGCAAGCUGUUGAAUAACCAGCCAACACCUCCUUCCUGGCUUCAGGAUAUCAAUAAAGAUCUUCUUGUCCUUGUACCUAUACUUGCACCUAUACUGCCCCUUGGAAAAUGCCAUGCCACGGCUGCACGGAUGUGCUGAUGUCAGCAGGGCUUCAAACACAGACGAGCUGGGCGUUGUAGUUCUGCACACGGUUGCUGGUGCAGGUGCUCAGCAGCAGCGAGGUCGUCACUGUUGUGCCGCCUGGUGUGAAGCAACCGCAGGUCAGCUGGCAAUCGUUGUUGACUGGGUGCAUCGUGCAGUCCUUGCAACUCCCUGAGUACGAGCCGUCCGGGAAGCUGCAGGCUGCAAAUUUAACACUACACUGAAAUCAUCUCGUGCACAAGAAAAAGGUUCCACGCAGGAAGGAUAUUGAAGAUAAAUUCGACACGAGUAGGGAUGGGACAUGAAGCUGCUCCAGGGAUGUCCCUAAACUGUGACGCGAUUGGAUACAGGGUGACAGAGCACUAGGGUGGGUUGGCUGCUCUACGAACUCAUUUGUAUACAGUGGAUAAACAGAUAUAUUGAGACUUGCUCGACUGUCUGCAUAAGAAAGAACCCACAUGCAGCUGGCGUAGAAGCCAUGAGCGCGACGACGAUGGCGACAAGGAAACACAACAGAACCUUCGUCAUCAUCGCCAUCCUGGAGC